rnacentral:miRNA from 1 species
UAAGUGCUCUCUUUUUGGGUGA